CUACGGGGCGCUCCAGUGGGGAAUAUUGCACAAUGGAGGAAACUCUGAUGCAGCAACGCCGCGUGGAGGAUGACGCAUUUCGGUGUGUAAACUCCUUUUAUAUGUCAAGAAAAUGACGGUAGCAUAUGAAUAAGCACCGGCUAACCCCGUGCCAGCAGCCGCGGUAAUACGGAGGGUGCAAGCGUUACUCGGAAUCACUGGGCGUAAAGGACGCGUAGGCGGGUUGGAAAGUCAGGUGUGAAAUCCUACAGCUUAACUGUAGAACUGCACUUGAAACUUCUAAUCUAGAGUAUGGGAGGGGGAGAUGGAAUUAGUGGUGUAGGGGUAAAAUCCGUAGAUAUCACUAGGAAUACCUAAAGCGAAGGCGAUCUCCUGGAACAUUACUGACGCUAAGGCGUGAAAGCGUGGGGAGCAAACAGGAUUAGAUACCCCCGUAGUC
rnacentral:rRNA from 1 species